AUGGCUGACUCCGGCCCAGCAGUUCCCGCAUUUGCUGUUUACUAACCGCUCCACCCCCUGCCAGCUCCGGCGUCAACACUGCCCAGCCCCGUAAAGGUUAUGAAGGCCGCUUAAUCGCCAUCUUGGACGCGGGCGGAAGUCGGCUAACCCGGCCAAAUCGAUCACCGUAACCACUGCGGAGAAUACGGCGAUCACGCUAACAGCAGGGAGAGCAGACGUGAAAGAAACGGAGAGGGAGCCUCCUUAAGGCAGCUUUCCAGCUUCACCACGCUGUAUUUUAAAGGCGCAGAAGGAGUGAAGGGGAGGAGAAAGCACAAAUACAGGUUCGCGGACUGGAAUAUAACAGGCACCAGAGGAUUCCUUCUCGGUCCCCUCGUCCUGGAACUUGCGACCAAGGUUGGAUGUCCCCAUAUCCUUGUUUAAUGGAGAGAACUCAACUAAGCUUCGUUGCUGCUAGCCCCAAAAGCAUUUGAUUUGUCUGUGAGAAGCUGAAAAUCAUCUUUUAGAAAGUUGCGCUUCGAUCUCCGCCCCCUACCCUCAAAUCCCUUAAUUAUGCUGUAGAAGUUGGGGCUUUUUGAACAUCUCUCUCACAAUCUGGUGCUGAUUUAACUGCAUAAUGGCUUUCUAUUUCACUGGUGUUCGAAGCUUUCCUAAACUUUGGAAGAGCAACCCAUACCUUGGGCUAGGCCCAGGUCACUCUUUUCUCUCUCUCUUUCUCAAAGACUGUUAUGGCAUCAAGAACCAAGAGAAGUGGUUUUCUCUUAAAACAGUGUCUCCACAAAAUACCAAAGCAAUGAAUCUGCUGGUUGCCAAAGCCAGAUAUGUCAGGAAAAAAGAUGAGGGCAGUAGUAAGCAAGUUUCUGCUGAUUCUCCUCACAUGUUUGCAGCUGGAGCGGCUAAGAAGAGAUCACAGAUGAAUCCUCCGAGUAAAGAGCACGUCUUGCCACCUGUGAAGAACAUUUUUCAACUCCCGACAAAACCUUUGAAUUCAGAGGAGUGGGAUAAACUGAAGGAAUAUUUCAAAGAAAAGGCUAACUUUGAAAAUUGGAUCAUUUCACAGAUGAUUAAAUGCCGUAGCUCUGUCGAUGUGGCCAAAUCUGUGCUGGCCUGGGUAGCUGCAAAAAACAAUGGUAUUGUAGGCUAUGAUUUGCUGGUCAAGUAUUUGUAUCUCUGCGUUUUUCAUAAGCAGACAUCAGAAAUUAUUGAUGUCUAUGAAAUCAUGAAAGACAGAUACAAGCGUUUAGAAUCUGGAGCGUACACUCUUCUCAUCCGGGGAUUAAUCCAUACAGACAGAUGGAGAGAGGCCUUGCUGCUGUUAGAAGACAUCAAAAAAGUCAUGAUUCCUUCAAAAAAGAACUAUGAUGACUGUAUCCAGGGAGCCCUCUUUCAUCAAGAUGUAAAUGUAGCUUGGAAUUUGUAUCAGGAGUUGUUAGGUCAUGAUAUUGUUCCUAUGUUGGAAACAUUAAAAGCCUUCUUUGAUUUUGGAAAAGACAUGAAAGGUGAUCAGUAUUCAAACAAACUGCAAGACAUUCUUUUGUAUCUAAGAAAUAAUCAGCUGUAUCCUGGGGAGUCAUUUGCACACAGUAUAAAAACAUGGUUUGAAAGUGUUCCUGGAGAACAUUGGAAAGGACAGUUCACCACAGUCCAGCAAAGUGGUCAGUGUUUGGGCUGUGGAAAAACUAUAGAGUCUAUUCACCUGAGUUCAGAAGAGUAUGAAUUUCUCAAGGAAAAAAUAAUGAGGGAUGUGAUAGAUGGAGGUGACCAGUACAGAAAGACGACACCUCAGGAGCUUAAGAGAUUUCAGGACUUUGUAAAAUACCAUCCUCCUUUUGAUAUUGUCAUUGAUGGGCUCAAUGUUGCCAAAAUGUUUCCUAAAGCUCGUGAAUCUCAAGUUCUCUUAGAUGUGGUCUCUCAACUAGCCAAGCAGAAUCUUCAAGUGCUGGUCCUGGGCCGGAAGCAUAUGUUAAAGCAGAAUUCCCGGUGGAGGAAGGAUGAUAUGGAAAAGGUGCAAAAGCAAGCCAGCUUUUUUUUUGCUGACAACAUCUCAGAGGACGAUCCAUUCCUUCUGUAUGCCACACUGCACUCGGGGGACCACUGCAAGUUUAUCACAAAAGAUCUGAUGCGGGACCACAAGGCCUGUCUGCCUGAUGCCAAGACCCAACGCCUGUUCUUUAAGUGGCAGCAGGGACAUCAGCUGGCAAUUGUUAGUAGGCAUCCGGGAUCAAAAAUAACAUUUCAGCAUAUUCUCAUCUAUGACACUGUGGUGCAAACAACGGGAGACUCGUGGCACAUACCUUAUGAUGACGACGUGGUGGAAAGAUAUUCCUACGAAGUGCCAACCAAAUGGCUUUGCCUUCACCGGAAGACAUAAAGACUCUUACCCCCAUGCUAAACUUGUGUUUGGGUGUCCUCCUGGUUGACAUCAGAGCUCUUAAGUUGAUGGUUGAUGCUUGUUUAGAGCAUUGCUUCUGUCCUGUCUGAUCCAGUUUGUCCUGUUUGGUCCAGUUGGUUUGCAUAUCAAUAAAUUGAUUUUUCAAUUAAAUAAGAUAUAUCUUUUCAUAACCGGUUGCAUUUUUCCCCCUAACAUUUGUUAGGAUUUGAGGCUUAUCCAAAGCUGGGGAACUUGGUGCAGAGUGAUACCUACCUUUCUCCUAUUGAGCCAGCUAUUCCGCUUACUUGGGCAACAGGGUCUUCUGGUAUCCAUUUUGCUACCCUUCCAGGUAGCAAUAGCAGAACCAAUCCAUCUGGCCCUGGACUCUGGGUUGUUUGUAAACCAUUUCUCCAUUUCUGAUAUCAUCUCAUCCUCUCAUGUUAUCUCCUUCCCACACUGAAUCACUUGUGGUCCUCUCUGAUGAGCUGGCCCAGAUGUCAGAGGUGUAUUAGCAACUUCUACUUAUCACCCAAUGAUUUGGGUUGGAGGAAAGGGGGCAAUUCCUUCUCUUUAGAUUAUGAAUGUUUCUUCUUCAUCCUAUAAUGCCUUUUCCAGACUAAUUCAACAUUUUGUGAACACUGUUAAUUCCAUCACUUGGUAUGAGGGCUUUCUAAAGUAUAUAGAUUAUUUUCAUUUUAUCAAGUUUGACUUACUUUACCAAAGUGAGUAAGUUGUUGCCUCUCUGUUUUACUCCCUUGAUAGGCAGCUUAUAUCUUGAUUUUAGCUGAAAAUAUUCGUGUCUGUAACACUUCAUAACAGUUCUUUCCUUACUCAUACGUACUAUACAAUUUGAUAUUCAAGAGCAGACAAAACCAGUCUAUGGUGAUAAAAAUCAGAAUACUAGUUGCCUGAGGAAAAGGGCACAAGAGAAUUUUGUGGGGGUGAUGGAAAGGUCUGAGUGGUGCUGACAUAGGUGUAUGUAUGUAUUAGUCAAAUUCAUCACACUAAACACUUAAAAUUGAUGCAUUUACAACAACGUAACUGAAAAAAGUAUGUUAGCAUAAAAGUUAUUUACAUGAAAAAACAAUGACUUCAUUUAUAUCAAACAAUAUACAUGGAUAUAAGUAAGGUGUGUAUUAUGCACAGAGAGACAAUCCAGGAAAAACAGAGGAGGGGAUGUUUUACCUCCUUACGCCAUUGUUGGAUUCAACACUGCUGCCUCCUAGAGGAAGGGGCUCUCCAGACAAGUGCCUGAUAAAUUGAGGGCAUUGAAAGAUGCUGAGAAUCGGAAAGCUCUCAUAAAUCCAACCUGUUUAUUUUCUAGAUUUCAUGAACUACCUACUUAGAACACUGUGCUUGCAGCGAGCUAAACUUUUUUUUAAGAAACUACCCUAGUUUUAAGAAAAUUAGGAAAGAAAGCAUUUGUUAAAUAAGCUUGUCUAAAAGCUUAAUGCAAAUUCCUCACAAGUUGCUCUAGAGAUGGGAGAGGAUACAAAAAGAAUCGUAGAACUUCAGAGCAGGAGUGAACCUUGAAGAACAUAAAAUCCUACAGUCGCAUUUUAUAGAGCAGGAAUAGACUCAGGAAGAUGCAAUGGCUCCCUUGGAUCCCACAGCUAGUUAGUAGAGACAUUUCAACCAUAACCCAGCUCUUCUGAUUCUCAAGUCAAAUAGUCUUUCUUCUACUGUACACUGUAACUUAGACUAGAGUAGUUCAUAAAAACUCAGACAGACUGAAUGGUAGAGCAUCCGGUAUGUAGGUUUAGAAACUUUGUUAGCCACAUAAGAGAAAGUGGGGAGAAUGAGAGGAAGGGAACAGGCAGGACGACCUCUUCAAGGGCCCACGUUUCCAUGGUGGCUCAUCAGGGUAGAAAAUUGGGUUAGAGAAACUACAUUUUUUUUGAACUCUUUAAUACCAUUCCAAAACAAAACCCUAAUUUCUGCUUGAGGUAAAUUGAGGUGCAUCUGUCACUUGUCCGGGAGCAGGGCAAUUCUAGGGCGCUCAGAAUCAAUCGCACUGACACGGGACCUUGAAGAGUUCAGGGAUUCUCUGAAUGGAGGCAGCUGGUACCCAACACUUAGGCUGCCUUUUGUAUUCUGAUCACCUGAGUGAGACAAAAGCUACCUGCCUAAUUCAAGGUCCCAGACACAGUGGGAAGAAGGAAUUCUUUAAAAACCUGUGCCCUGGAUUGAGAGUAUCUUUAAAGUUGGCCAGCCAUGAACAAUGAAAGCUUUGAAAGGGCACUGACUCUGCCACUGAAAAGUGUGUCUAAAAUGCUUUGUGCUUCCCUCUGGCAUGCUCCUGAAUUUAUACUCUCUUUUCCUCCUGCUGUUCUCAGACCCAGUAAAGAGAAAAUCACAAAGGAGAAGCCUGAGCUCAUUCUCCCAGGGCUCCGCUGGGACUACCUCACCUCAGAUUCCCUGAGGGCAGCCUCCCUGGUGGUGCAGUGGUUAAGAAUCCGCCUGCCAAUGCAGAGGACACGGUUUCGAGCCCUGGUCCGGGAAGAUCCCACAUGCUGCAGAGCAAUUAAGCCUGCGAGCCACAACUACUGAGCCCGUGUGCCACAACUACUGAGCCCAUGUGCCACAACCACUGAAGCCCACACGCCUAGAGCCUGUGCUCCGCAACAAGAUAAGCCACCGCAAUGAGAAGCCUGCGCACUGCAACGAAGAGUAGCCCCCGCUCGCCGCAACUAGAGAAAGACUGCGCACAGCAACAAAAGACCCAAUGCAGCCAAAAAUAAAUAAAAGUAAAAUAAAUAAAUUUUUUUAAAAAAAGAUUCCCUGAGGAUUUUUCUCCCCAAGUUUUGUCUCUGUUGGCAAGACUUGAUCUGACAGAUGCUUCCAGAGACUAUACAUGCACAACUUGCCUUCAACCAGGAAUUGAAAUAAACAGGAAGACAAUUAUCUAGUCACUGAUAACAGCUAAAAAUUGUUUUGCUACCAGAGUACUCUCAGAAGUACACUGUUAUCAAAUGGAUUAAGUUAUUAAAAUAACCAUGAUAAUUUAUUAUAAAUAGCAGUGUUAUGUGAAGGGUUUCUGGUAGCUUCUGACAAGAAAGUUGAUGUAGAAUUAAUUUCAUCCAUAUUUAAAUGAUUACCUCAUUAGUCUCUUUGAUGUUAGUUAAAAUUCAGCCCAAGAAGCAAAUACUUGAGAAAUCACAAUUUCUAAUAUGGUAGAGACAUAAAUUCAUUUUAAGGAGACCAGUUCAGAUUGCCGUAUCAGUCUCAGCUGGGCUAGAACAUUACUAAGUAUCAAGUUUAGUUCACAUCUAAAUAUUGAAAGUCCGUUUUUUUUCUUUUUUCUAAUUUUUAUGUAUUAAAAAUUUUUUAAAUUGAAGUAUAGUUGAAUUACAAUGAUUCAGGUGUACAGCAAAGUAAUUCAGAUAUGUAUAUAUAUAUUCUUUUUUAGAUUCUUUUCCAUUAUAGGUUAUUACAAGAUAUUGAAUAUAGUUCCCUGUGCUAUACAGUAGGUCCUUGUUGUUUAUGAAAGUCCAUUAUUAAAACAGAUUUUUUGUGCUUUCUAUGACUGCAUCAGAACAAAGAAUGUCAGUGUCCGGAAUUCCCUGACAAUUCUGCUUCUCAUUUGGCUCUCUGGGGCAGAGUGGCAUCCGGCCUGGGAGGAUAAUAUGGGGCCUCCACCUCCAUGAAACAGGUUCCUUUGGAAGUGGUUAUGGCAGGUUGUCGGAAAGGUAAGUCCCUCACCUAGACUCAUUGCUUAAGAUGUACUGUAUUACUAAUUCUUUAAAAAUAAAUCAUUCUUGUAUUUUCUUCCCCUUUUCAGUGACCUUGUCCUAGAAUCCAAAGCUGAAUAUUUUUAUCCUCUGCUCCAAAGCUGAGUAGUCUAAUGCUAUUAAGUUUUUAUACACAUAUAUGCCUUUCAUAUAUAUAUACACACAUGUAUAUAUAAUUUUUUUAAGGAUCACUCAUUCUCUAUAACCUCUUUUGUAAUAAGGUUUUUUCCCACCUGACAGAAAAUGAAACUUUUCCUUGUUCUCAUAGUCUUCUGUCACUUCUUCCUCAUGUACUCUGAACAUCAUAAUAUAACUUCAUAAAACAAGGCAGUCAGGUUAAGCUAGGGCAUUGCUGUAUACCAUAAAAUACUAUUUGCAUGGUUGUAUACUCACAAACUAUUCCUCCAGGUUUCCUGUGUUCAGAAGGAAAUUUGUGUUCCAGGAAGCUGUCACCCUGAUGAUAGCUACUGGCUCAAAUUAAGGAUCGUGUCCUUUGGCACUCAGCCCUGUUCUGGCAGGAGUUCUCAAAUCCUUGAAGAAAUGGGUCUUUUCCAAGUUAGGCCCUCUGAUCUCCAACUCCUAAAGAAAUAAACUCUGGUCAGACCAAGUAUUUGAAGAGAAAGCCUGAGGAAGUUUUGCUGCUUGACACAGAUAGGGAGCUUUUUAUUUUUUUAAGUAAAUCAUCUGGCUCUUUUUGUUCUUUGAUACAGCAAGGGAGGUUUCUGUGAGGAAAUCAGUACUGAACAGUUUGUGCUUUAUGAAUGUCAGUAGAUUUUUUUUUCCUUCCCACUCCCACUGCCACUAUCCCCAGAGAUUUCAACACCAUCCAUAUUCUGGUCUCAUUGUUUCUUAUCCACUUAAACUCUGAUGAUUUUCGGCCCCCUGUGAGAUGCCAACCUGGAUCUUUUAAACUACUUAAAAGUGCUCCACUUUCAGGAUAUCAGACUUUGGAGCUCUUCAUUUUGCCUACAACCUCCUUAACCUGCUCCACUCCUUCAUCCCGACCACCAGUUCCUAGAUCUGUUCUUAGGCCUAUUCCUUCCUCACCUAGAGGCCUCUCUUAUCUAUCUUCAUCUAGCUUUGCUUGCCUUGUUGCUCACCCCACUCCAUCCUCAAACCACUCAUUUCAUGGAUGACUUCAGUAAUACUUCAGAUUCUUUCAUUCAUUUCACCUCCUGUGGUACCCAUCUUAUCAAUUCUAAACCAAACUUUGGGUAGCCCCAUACCAUUCCACUUUCUCCUCUCCUAUACCAUAGUAUUGCUAGAAAAGUCACGAAAUUAUGCUACUAGUACUUCACUCCCAUUUGAAGGUCCUUUGUUUCACCUUUCAGUGAAUUCCCUGUUAAUUCCCCGAAGGAGCUCUCCCAACUUUUGCCAUCUUAACUUGAAAAGAGCUCAUCUCCUGCAGCCUCCAUUUCCUUUUCUGUUCAGUGGGGAAGAGGGUGCCAGCGUACUUCUCAAACUCUAAUGGACAUGGGAUCUCGUUUAAAUUGCUGAUUCUGAUUCAGGUCUGGUGUGCCUGGUGAUGCCAAGGCUGCAGACCAUAUUUUUGAGUAGUAUUUUGAGUAGUCUCAAAUGAGCUCCAAGGUUAUUUAAAAAUAAUAAUAGUACAACACUCAUGAUUCUAAGUCCUGAAUCAUAACCUGGCCACUCUCACUCUCAGCAGAUGACUUAAGCAGGAACUAAAAGCCAUCUGUUAAGAGACUCUUCAGCAAUUUUUGCCCUUUCUAGCAACUUUCUUUCCUCACCCUUUUCUCCCUCUUCUAGGUUACUUUUUCUACUGCCUCCAUACUAUCCUUUCUUGCUAACUUGAGAAGUUGUUUUCUCAGUUAGUCUCUUUCCAUGGGCUCAUUCCCCCAUCUAACUACAAUACUUUUGGCUUCUAGCCUGACAAAACUGUGCUUCCCUAGGGAUAAUUUAACAGCCAAACUUCUCAGAGGAAGGAGCCAUCUCUACCCCUGCUUUCUUUCCAAUUCUACAUUUGCAGCUGAGCAUUUCUACUCAACCACGGUGAAAACAAUUCAUCUUCACCCCAACAGAGUGACCUCCUGCCUUACUUUAUGUUAUUUUUUCCUGCUCAUUUCCCCCUACUUACAUACCUAAUCAAUUAGCAAAUUGUGUUUGACUCCAUCUUCAAAAUAUCUGUCGUAGUCUAAUUAUUCAACUCUUAACUACCUUUCCAAAGGAAAUAAUCCUUUUUUAAAAAAUUUGUACAUGAAGAUAUUCUUCAUAAUAAUGUUAUUGAUAAUAAUAACAAAAUUGGAAAUAACGAAAUGUUCAAAACAAGGGAGGGAAGAAAUAUAAUUUUAAACGUUACAGUGAUUAAAAUGAUACUUUGUGUGUUGGCAUGGGUUAAAUGACAAAACAUCUACCAAAUGGUAUGUUUAAUAUGAUCCCAUGUUUUAAAUAGGAAGGAAGGAAGGAAAGAGACAUUUGGAGAAAAGUAUCUGAAAGAAAUAAUAUUUUGUUGAUUCCAAAAUGUUAAUAGGUAUCUGUGCAUGCUGGGAUUGUGGUUGAUUUUUAGUUGUCUUCAUCUUCUGCACAAUCUGAAUUGUUACAUGUGUAAUAGGAUGUUAGAAUAGGACUCUUUCUGCCUCAGUUUCCACUGAGGCACAAAUAUAGUAGAUACCAAGAUUCCCAGGUGAGUGUGGGGCAGACAGUACAUAUGCAGAAUUUACAAAAAGAAUAAAGGAGAAUCUGCCUCACAACUCCCGGCCCCUUAACCAGGCCAAAGAUAUCAAAGAGUCAGAGGAAGGAAAAAGAUAAAGAUGUUUCCUUGUAGAGAGCUGUGGCCAGGCUCCUGGUUCCUUAGGUACCCUCUGACCCCAGGACCCCGGGAAAGAUGCCUCAAUAGGAAUACUUGGAGCUCCUCUUGCAGUCUGGGGAACCCAGGACCUCAGAGAAAGCUGAAGCCUCUGUGGAUGGGCCUGACUCUGCAAAAGCUGCAGGAUGACAGCAGGGCUGACAAGAGACAUUGGAAACGAGCCAGAGAGGGCUACUGCCUUGGACUUGCCUGACACUGCAGGUUUCCUGAUGGGGGCCAGAUAGGUGGGAAGAGAGUUGCCUUAGGCUGUCUUGGGCUGGAGGGGAACUUCGGGAUGGCCAGGGGUUGAAGAAGGAGUGCAAGUGGCCACCUACAUAUAAAAACUGAUGGGCUCAGCAGAGAACCACUGAAGAGCCUUAGAAGAGUGGCCAAGCGGAGAAGUAUCAGCUUUAACCAUCUGUCAGGCUCACCAGAGACUCCAGCUAUAAACAUCUGCUUGGCCUAGAAAGCAUUGAGCCACCCACCCUUACCCAUCCUCCACUGCCCAUCCUCCACCUUGGCUGGGGCGGGGCAUGUGGAGGGUGUGAAGGAGGUCGGGGUGGAGCUGAGCCAGGAGUGAUUAGGGAGGACAAGUCAACCAUGCCCCCACCCCUUUCCACUGGAAGAUUUAGUGCGAAGCCGACCUAAGCUGACAGAAUACAAAUGAUGCAGUGCUGUUUGGAAUCUAUUGGUAUAGAACUGGAUAUUCUAAUUUCUGAAUCGAUACUGCAUUUGUUAAAGUAACCGUAGCACUGCAUAUUAUCUAAGAGGAAUGGAAAAGUAAGGGAGCAUACCCGAGUUUUCAUCUAGAGGCAGGAAAAAUGAAAGGAAGAGUGGGAGAACAAAAGUCAGAUUGUAGUUUUAUCACAGUCUGUUCAUCACGCUUGUUACCAGAACCCAGAUGCCCCCUUGCGCUCACUUCCAUCAUUUCUUGCCUCCACAAAGGUAACCACUGUCCAGUCUUCCAACAGUAUAGAUUCCUUUUGCUUGAUUUUGUGCUUUAUGUAAAUGGAAUCAGUCAGGCUGUGCUCUUCCGUGGCUGGCUUCUUUCAUUCAAUAUUGUGGGAGGUUCAUCUCUGUUGUCACAUGUAAUUGUAUCAUUCAUUUUCAUUAUUAUGUGAUGUUCUAUAGUGUGAAUAUACCACAAUUUAUCCAUUCUACUGUUGAUGGGCAUUUGGAUAGCUUCUAGUUUUUGCCUAUUACAAAUAGUAAUUACUAUGAAUAGUGUAUCACUUUUUAUAAUGGGCGGAGAGCUAUUAAAAAGUCUCUGGCAUCUUCUUUCCUUUCCAUUUCCGUAACUACCACCCCAGUUCAGGCCUUCACAAACAGUCACUGGUUCUAUUAGCAAUGGCCUCUUGAUUGAUAUCCCCAUCUACAGUUCAUCAUAAAUACUGCCACCAAGUUUAUCUUCUGAGAGCAUAAUUCUAAUCAUGCCAUUUCCCUUACUCAAAAACGUCAAAUGUCUCCCCACUGCCUUCCAACCAGAGCAGAAGUUCCUUUCCUUGGCAUUCAAGGCCUCCUCCCUGCAUUUGUACUCCAGAACAUUUUUGUGUCCUAGUCAAGCUAAGCCACUGCCAUAACCUAAACACAGGCUCUUUUUUUCUUCCUCUGCUUCUCUGUUCUUGCCACCCCGCGUCCAUGUUGCAUCAUGGUGCCACUCACACUGUUCCUAACAGCGAACACACCUGUCAGAGUGCUUCUCCUCCCAAGUUGAGCUCGGAUAUAUUUCUUUCAGCAGGUGGCUUGCAUUCCCUUUGGCCAAAGUCAUUUCCCAUCUGCAGCGCUUUGUUGGACACUGCCUUACAUAUCAUGUGCUCCUUCAUGUUAGUAUUGCUCUCAUUUGGGUUGCAUUUUUCCUCCCCACUGAAAUUUCUUCUCCAUCUGGUUCAUCUGUGUGUCUCCAGAGCAGCCAGCCCAGCUGGCUUACCCCUAGAAGAGGCUCAAUAAACGUUUGUUGAAUUAUUUUGGAGAAGUUGUUUGAAAAUGUCUUCCUGAUUUUUACCUCUGAUUCCCACUUCUCCUUUGAGUGAAUUCCCCUCUUGCUCCUUGGUAUUUUGUGUGUGUGCCGGCUCAGGAACAUACUCUUUGGUGUCUGAUGCUUCAACUGACCCUCAAGAAAUAAUGAUAACUUCUCAAUGCCACCCUCUUUAAUUAUACCAUUUAAGCCCCUCCCCGCGUCUUAAAUGAAUUGACUAUUUAUUUAUUAGGCAUCUAUUUUGUACA